AGGGUUUGAUUAUGGCUCAGGAUGAACGCUGGCGGCGUGCUUAACACAUGCAAGUCGAACGGGAUCCAUCGGGCUUUGCUUGGUGGUGAGAGUGGCGAACGGGUGAGUAAUGCGUGACCGACCUGCCCCAUGCUCCGGAAUAGCUCCUGGAAACGGGUGGUAAUGCCGGAUGUUCCACAUGAUCGCAUGUGAUUGUGGGAAAGAUUCUAUCGGCGUGGGAUGGGGUCGCGUCCUAUCAGCUUGUUGGUGAGGUAACGGCUCACCAAGGCUUCGACGGGUAGCCGGCCUGAGAGGGCGACCGGCCACAUUGGGACUGAGAUACGGCCCAG
rnacentral:rRNA from 1 species